CCAUGAACAUGCUACAGUCAGCUGCAAGGAUGAAAAUGGAUGGCAAGAAAUUCAUCAGGCUUGCAGGUAUGGACACGUCCAACACCUGGAGCACCUGCUGUUCUACGGCGCUGACAUGUGCGCGCAGAACGCCUCGGGGAACACGGCCCUGCACAUCUGUGCCCUCUACAACCAGGAGAGCUGUGCAAGGGUGCUGCUGUUCCGGGGAGCCAACAAGGAGAUCAAGAAUUACAACAGCCA
rnacentral:lncRNA from 1 species